UCAUUAACGAAUUUAUAAUCCGGCGAGGGGAAGGACGAGAGUUGUCGCUGGCCUUUCGCGAGGCAUGUGCACGCUUUCUUCUGGACUUUCGCCGUAUGGGCGCGGGGCCACCCGCGUCUUCAUGCACCUCUUCGUGUAGAAAGUCUUUGAAUGUUAUACCAUCAUCGAGUCGCGACUUCUAGGAGACGCGAUUCUUUGAGACAAAAGUUAUUACAACUUUCAGCAACGGAUCUCUUGGCUCUCGCAUCGAUGAAGAACGCAGCGAAUCGCGAUAUGUAAUGUGAAUUGCAGAUCUACAGUGAAUCAUCGAAUCUUUGAACGCACCUUGCGCUCCUCGGUGUUCCGAGGAGCAUGCCUGUUCGAGUGUCAGUAAAUUCUCAACCCCUCUCGAUUUGUUUCGAGCGGACGUUUGGAUAGUGGGGGCUGCCGGAGACCUGGAUUUAUUUCAGGACUCGGGCUCUCCUGAAAUGCAUCGGCUUGCGGUCGACUUUCGACUUUGCANGACAAGGCCUUCGGCGUGAUAAUGAU
rnacentral:rRNA from 1 species